rnacentral:lncRNA from 1 species
UGAUUUCAAAAGGCAAUUUCCAAAGAUAAUUUCAAAACUAAACCAGUAUGACUACACAACCAUCAUUUGGCAUUUAGCACAUCUUAAAAUAAAGCUUCUCAACAGAUUAGAACCAACUCGACUUCCAUUUUUCAAAAGCUUUUCAAAAGGCACACCUGGUGUUGAACAAGCAAAACCAAACUCAUAAUCUGCAUUAACAUGUAUUUAAAAUCAAUGACUAUAGAUUCAAAACUAAAUAUUUCAACUAGUUAAAUUGUAGGUCACCGUCCAUAUUUAACACAUACUAUAGGGUCCAAAUGCUCUCCAAUCAAUUGCACCCUUAUAAGUUCAAAUUUAAACUUAACUAAAUAGAAUGAAAUACACACGAAGAAAAACUAUACUAGAAAGAACUAAACCAAGUUUUAUGUUGAACAGAUAGCAGAAAAUUAGUAUUGAUCGAUUUCCUCAUCUUGAAUUACAUGAGUUUAAACUUGCACUUCACAUACAAUAGAUCCAAGGCAUACCUGGUGUUGAACAAACAAAACCAAACAAAAGUAAGGGUUCAGCAAAUGACCAGCAACAUGAAUCAGCCCAGAUUCAGUUUCAAACAGAGAAUAAAGUGCAGCCGCUCAGGGAAUGUUUUCAAUCGACCAGUAAACCCCCCUCGACUUCCAACCAAAUUUCUAAAACCAAGCUUAAUCCAUUUUAAACACAAAUGAUUCAGAAACCUUUCAGAAAUUAAAACUCCAAACUCACAUAAGAGUAUCAGUAAAACAGUGAUUUCUCUUCAAAAUUUGCAGUUGUUUGUUUUUCUAAAUUUUUAUCCCUUC